UACAAAUCUUCAUAGCUUCAUCCAAACACAAAUUGAAAGGCAAUUAAAAGGAGCAAUGGCAAGUAGAAAUGAAAAGUGUAGCCAUUGUGGAACAACACUAGUGGUUCCAUCAGAGGUUCAUGUCUUCAAAUGUUCACUAUGCUAUGGAAUCACACAUUCUAGACCACCCUCAAUAAUGGGUCCAUUGAGCCAUGCAUACAACUCUGUUUCUCAUGUGGCAGAUAGGUUUAGAGGCUUCAUAAACACUAUAACUAACAACAACAAUCCAAGAUUUGGUUAUAACAAUUAUUAUUAUCCUCCAAAUCCUUACCAUCAUCAAUCAUUAAGGCCAUGUUCUUCAUACCCUUCUAUGAUGAUGACUCCAAAUUCAUAUGGUCCAAAGAGAGCAGUGUUAUGUGGAAUUUGCUACCAUGGAAGGAGUUAUAGGCUUAGGGGAUCUGUGACUGAUGUAAAGUGUAUGAGAUAUUUUCUUAUGAACAAGUUUGGUUUUCCAAGUGACUCUAUUCUCGUGCUCACAGAUGAUAAGGAGGAAAGAAAUCCACUAAGAAUUCCAACAAGAUGCAACAUUGAAAUGGCAUUAAGGUGGUUGAUUGAGGGUAGCAAGUCAGGGGACUCAUUAGUGUUCUUCUUCUCAGGACAUGGAACACAAGAAUUGGACCUUAACAUGGAUGAGAUUGAUGGCUAUGAUGAAGCAAUUUGCCCUCUGGAUUUUGAGCACCAAGGCAAGAUUCUUGAUGAUGAGAUCAAUGCCACAAUUGUUAGGCCACUACCUCAUGGUGCUAAACUCCAUGCAAUGUUUGAUGCAUGCCAUAGUGGCACCCUUCUUGAUUUGCCAUUUUUUUGCAAGAUAAACAGGGAAGGGUAUUAUAUAUGGGAGGAUCAUAGGCGUCCAAGAAUUUAUAAAGGGACAAAUGGAGGGCUUGCAAUUUGUAUUUCAGCUUGUGAUGAUGGUCAAGUCUCAGUAGAUACCUCUGUUAGCCUUAAGUGGAAGAGAAGUUACUGGUGCCUUGACUUAUAGUUUGAUCAAAGCAAUGGAAAAUAAUGAACAUGGAUUAACAUAUGGUCACUUGCUCAAUGCAAUGCGUUCAACCAUUCGUGCAACCAAAACAGGCAUUGUUGGUUUAAAUAAUGGUCCAAUUGCUUCAUUGCUAAAUACACUUCUUGGCCUAAAAAUUACUCAGGUGCCGCAAUUAUCCUCUUCGGAGAUGUUUGACAUCUAUGCAAAGCAAAUUGUGAUAUGAUAUCGAUAUAUGGAAAUUAAAGAUGGAAAAUGCUACUCAAAAUUUAUUCAUUCCAUAAAAUAUAUAUGUAAAAGUGUACACUUCUUCGAUCAUAAUGUUAAAUUGUUUCUAUAUAUGAACUACUCCACCUCCUUGCUUUUCUAAUGUUCUUAUCUUCUUACGGG